GCAGCUCGGAACCGCUGCCUAAACCCAGCCCCGGAAAUAACGUACCGAUCUUCGGAGUCCAAGUCGGAAGUUGACUGGAGAGUCAUCUGCUUCCGUCCGCUCUAGAACACCAGACAUACCACGCAGCCAUGUUGUGUAAGCUUCUUAUGAAGAUUCCCAGUAUAAAUGCAACAGCUGGAGUUACCUACAAAUAUACAAACUGAAAGAAAAGAAAUAUUAUGGUUGGCUAUUUGGGAGUCUCCUGAAAUGAAAACAUACCUGGACAGCUAGCAUGAUCAGAGCGCAUCUAAAUCAAUCAAGGAGGAACAGAGGGAAUUGAACUUGCCACAACUGCUGCUUUAAGAGAAAAAAAAAAAAAAGGUACUUUGCUGGGAAUGGUGGCUCGUGCCUGUAAUCCCAGCUACUUGGGAGACUGGAGUGGGAGGACUGCUUGAGGCCAGGUGUUCAAGACCAGCCUGGGCAACACAGCAAGACUCAGUCUCAUUUAAAACAAAAAAGAAGGUACUUUGAUAGGUGCAACAUAUUUCUCAUACCUUGUAUCUAUCCAUUGGGUCUUCCUGUUGCAGCUGACUCUCUCGCAUUGUCUGAUAUUCUUUCUCAUAUUUCUUCAGCUUCUUGGUUGGUACCUGCAGGGAUUUGAGGAAAACCAUGUUGGACAAGGACACCAUUUAUGAAAAAAAAUUCAGGUGUGUUUGCUAGUUAAAUUUCUGGCAUUCUAAGGAAACAUGCUCAACUGAAAGUUAGGAGAAAAAUAGAGAUUCCAGAGUAGGGGUUGGCAAACUUUUCCUGUAAAGGUCCAGACAGUAUAUAUUUUAGGCCUUGUGGGCCAUAUAGUCUAAGUUGCAAAGAUUCAACUCUGUCAUCAUUACACAAAACCUGCCAUGGGUGAUACCUAAACAAAUGAGCCUGGCUGUGUUCCAAGAAAAUUUACAGAAACAGGCUACAGUUUGUCCACCUCUGUUAUAAAUAAUAUUGCUGAUGUCACAACCUUCUCUUGUUAAUGUAUUUAAUAGUGCUAUUAAUUUUAACUUUCUUAAGUAUAAUUCACUCAUAUCCUUCUAUUACGUUGAAAAUGAAAAUUAUUAUUUUAUACAAGUAAAAAAUUGAGCUACAAGAAAUAUUCUAAAAUGGCCUGGGCGUGGUGGCUCAUGCCUGUAAUCCCAGCACUUUGGGAGGCUAAGGUGGGUGGAUCACUUGAGGUCAGGAGUUCGAGACCAGCCUGGCCAACAUGGUGAAACCCCGUCUCUACUAAAAUUACAAAAAUUAGCGGGGCAUGGUGGUGGGCAUCUGUAAUCCCAGCUACUCUGGAGGCUGAGGCAUAAGCCUGGCUUGAACCUGGGAGGCUGAGGUUGCGGUGAACCAAGAUUGUGCCACUGUACUCCAGCCUGGGUGAUACAGCAAGACUCGGUCUCAAAAAAAAAAAAAAAAAAAAGAAAAGAAAAGAAAAGAAAAAUAUUCUAAAAUGGUGUUAGUAUACUGAAAAGAAAGGUUUUAGUGUGUGACAAUGAAAACUCAAAUAUAGAAUCAUUAUGCUGUAUGAGAUAAUAGAAAGUCAUCUAAACAACUCAUUUAUUUCUUGCUAAAAUUAUGUCAUCCAUAAAAGACAGCAGUUUACUCUUUUCUGAAAAAAGACUAGAUUCCAAUGGACUCUUAGAAUUUUAAAAAUAAACAAAUAAGCACAGCGUAAUAUAAAAGCCCUCAGUAAACAGAUAUUUAACCUCUCUUUAGGGGACAGUGGUGCAUGUCUAUAGUCCCAGCUACUUGGGAGGUUGAGACGGAAGAAGUGCUUGAGCGCACAAGUUCCAGGCUGCAGUGCACUAUGACGGCCACUUACUGUAGCCUGGGCAACAGAAUGAGACCCUGUCUUUUAAAACAAACAAAAAAACUCUCCUAGCCUCACUUUCUUCAUCUAUAAAAUAGCAGGUAAACAAAAUUUCUACCUCAUAAUGGUGUCAGGAGAAUUAAAUGAGUUAACAGAGAAGUUAUCUAAAACAAUGCCUGGUUCAUGGACAUUUAAAAAAAUUUUUUUUUAAAUAAGUAUUCAAUCAAAAUUAACAUAUUAGAACUUAUUCUGUUCCAUAAUACAUAUUAAAUCUACUUUUAGCCUUUCUUUGGACAAUCAAAGUUAUAGAAUUCCUUUACUUAUAUUAUUUUAACUUUUGUAGAGAUGGGGUCUGGCUAUGUUGCCUAGGCUGGUCUCAAAUUCCUGGGCUGAAGCGAUCCUCCUUCCUCAGCCUCCCAAAGCAUUGGGAUUACAGGCAUGAGCCACUGUGCCUAGCCUAUGAUUCCUUUAAACAGCAACACCUUAAUGUUUUUGUUGGGUUUAAGAUUACAAACGUGCUAUGUUGCAAACUUCUUGCGUACUCUGAGAAGGCAAGGAUGAUGUGUUGCCCUCAGUAUCUGCCAUAAUACCUAGCGGUAUUUGGCUCAUACUAGGCCCUCAACAGAUUGUUCCUUGUUGAGUUUAAAAUAUGGUAUUUAGAAAACAUAUACAUAUGAGUGAGAGAGCAAAAGAGAAUGGAAAGCAUCUAGCAUGAAUAUAAAAUUAUCUCACAAUUUCCUUAUUUUCAUUAAGAUGAGGACAGUACUAAUUCUCUGGCAUCUGGCCAGAUAGUUUGUUACAUAAAAAACAAAGACACCAGGUGUCAUUCCCCACCUUAUUCUAAUUACUUUGUUCUUCUUAUCCAGGAACACUAUGAAGUACUAGAAUUAUCUGCUUCUGACCACAAUUGGGAAGUUUCACAAAUUCAGUCCAAACCUGAUAGAUGAUACAAACCAGUCAACAACCACAUUAUGAGAAUAUUCAUCUGGCUGAUGGGGGAAUGUCUCCCCAGCCAAACAAGGAGUGAGGACAUUUUCCAGGGUGUAACUGAAUUGCAAAGCCACUGCUGAAUAUUGUUAUGAGAAACACGAAUCCUUUAUUACUCCAUCUCCAGAGACCUCUAACAAGCAUACUGUGACCAACUAGAGUGCAAUAGAAAGGAAAGCACCACCUGCCAACUGUGUAGCCUCACAGAUCAUUAGAUAAACAAGGGAAAUAUACACAAUCAUGUGUUAACAAAAUGACGACAUUAUUUUUCUUGGCUUUGAUAGCAGUCUCAAUUUCUUUUAGUUUUAUUUUCUCUCUGUAUAUUAAUCAUACACUGAGAAAACCAAAAAUAGACUCUGAAGAAGUAGUUGCAAAUCACUAGCACUAAAAUAGCCCUGGAGCUAUAGAAAAAGGGGAAGCUUCAGGGUUUUAAGCAGUAACAAGGUGUCUCCAAUGUUUCCCUAGGAGCAGAUACAAGGGCCAAGGGGAGCAGCUAAAGGUAUUGUGAGGAGACAGCCUACUCCAGGAGCCAUUUUCCCACCAGAUCGGAAGUAUUUCAGUAUUUUUACAGCAGGAAUACCAUUACCACUGGACACCAGGCUGAGUAUUAAUUAGUCCCAUGUGGAAGUAUUUUCUACAUGGUUCUAAAAUGGAUCCACUCACUGGUGACUGAAUUACGUACUGGAAGCUUGUGCCUAGAGAAUUCUGAAACUAUAGUUUUAAACUUCAAACUAUUAUCAAUAUUUUUUUUACAUGUAAGAGAAAAAAAAGUCCUUUUAAAGGGAUAUUUUUACAUGUCCUUUUAAAAGUCACUUUUGCUACUUAUAUUAAGAGAUUCAUUUCAAAGUGAAAUAUUCAAAAAAGGCAAUAACACUCUCAAUAAGCUAAUCCUUUCCCAUCUGGCUGAGAUUCUAGGAUAUUUGGCUUCAUCUUGUUCAGGGAAACAGAGCAGGUUCCCAGAACAAUAUGUUGCUAGGAAACCUUCCAAGCUUAUUUAUCUUGUGUGUGGGGUGAUACUGAGCAUCCACCUGUGUGAUUGGCACAACGUAAAAGAGGGGAAAAGGGUGGAGGAGGAAGAGACAGGGGAGCUGAUAUGAAACUCUUGUUAUUUAUGAGGUAAUCAAAGAAAAUAGAUUUUCAGUUUUUAAACCACAUUUCAGGACAAACUUGAUUUUAUUUUAGGGAAUACUGAAUGGGAUACAGACGCUUGAAAUUUUUCUUUCUGGAGAAAGAAAUUUAAAAACCUCUUAGGUAAUUAACAUUUAUUGUUCCCCUUUCAGGGGGACCAUCCCCACGGAUGAUCAAAGGUCAGUUCCUGGUCAACAUAAGUAAACAAGCUUGUUUAAGAUAAAUUUCCCUACACUCCCUUGUAUCUACUCCUUGCCCAAUGCCUCAAGGUUAUAGAAUAGCUGCCUUCAGCUAUUCUCCCCCGGGGCUCUGCAGAACCUUCUGACCUUUCAGAAGGUUUGUGUCCUUUCCCUAUAGUUUUUCCCCACCACUCUGACCGAUAUCCCACAGUGUCCGCUCAUAUUUUCUAUUACGUUUCAUUGUAUUCCACAGUGAUUUCGCAGACCCUCUAAAAUGAUUUCAUAACCAGCAGUUUGAAGGACACUGCACGUGAAAUGGGCUUUUUCAUCUAUUCCCCUGAUGAUAAUACUCAGAGCGUUAUAAUUCUAAAUCACUGGAGAAGCUUUAUUAACUCUACUUAUUAUCAAUACUCUCACCUGUCAUUACAGAUGAGAGUGGGUCCUUGUCAGCUGUUAUCAGGAAAUACAAAGAAUAGAGCUUAAUGAAUUUAAGGCAGAGGGGAAUGGUAGGGGAAUGGCGAGGGAGUGUUAAACAGUGACCUUCGAUAACAGUAAAAGACAGAGCACAAUAAUUACUUAUUUGCCUUACUCAAUAUUAGUCAUGCUGGCCUCAGAUGGAGAUAUGGGAGGGGAAGACUCAAAAGAAUAUACCCAACUUUCUUCAUUCUCCAUGUUUUCUCUCUUCUUCUCAUUUAAGGUGUUUAUUUCAUAUUUGUAUAUAUGACUCUUGCAGAUUGAAUAUAUAUUAAUUGUGUUGUAUAUUAAUAAUUAUCGGAAGAAUUUGCCUUAAUAAUCUUCAUCUCACUAAUCAUAUCAACCAGUGAUAUCAUCCUAUUUUGUAUUCUUACUUUCAUAUCUUAUUUUGAAUACUAAUAUUUGAAUUUCACAUGCAUUAGUUUUUCGUUUUUUUUUUUUUUUUUUUUUUUUGCACGCCACCAUGCCUAGCUAAUUUUUGUAUUUUAUUUGAGAUGGAGUUUCCCCAUGUUGGCCAGGCUGCUCUUGAACUCCUAACCUCAAGUGAUCUGCCCUCCUCAGCCUCCCAAAGUGAGUUAUUUCUAAUAAAACUUAUUUUGGCCAGGUGUGGUGGCUCAUGCCUAUAAUCCCAGCCCUGUGGGAAGUCAAGGUGGGUGGAUCACUUGAGUUCAGGAGUUCAAGACCAGCCUGGACAAAAUGGUGAAACCCUGUGUUUACAAAAAAUACAAAAAUUAGCUGAGCAUCGUGGCACAUGCCUGUAGUCCCAGCUACUUGGGAGGCUGAGGUGGGAGGAUCACCUGAGCCUGGGAGGCUGGGUUGCAAUGAGGUAAAAUCAUGCCACUGCACUCCAGCCUAGGUGACAGAGUGAGACCCUGUCUCAAAACAAAACAAACAAAUAAAAACAUAUUUAUUUGCUUACAUAUAAGAUUUGGUUAAGUUUCCUGAUUAUCAAACUCAAUCUUUUUUUUUUUAAGAGAGAGGGUCUUGUUCUGUUGCUCAGGCUGGAGUGCAGUGGCACAAUCACAGCACACUGCAGCCCCGAAUUCCUGGACUCAGGUGACCCUCCCACCUUAGCUUCCUGAGUAGCUGGGACUAUAGGGGCACACCACCAUGCCUAGCUUUUUUUUUUUUUUUCGGUAGAGCCAGGGUCUCACUAUGUUGCCCAGGCUGGUCUCAAAAUCUAAGGCUCAAGCAAUCUUCCCACCUCAGCCUCCCAAAGUGCUGGGAUUACAAGUGUGAGCCACCAUGCCUGACCCAAACAAGAUCUUUGUACAUUGAGGAGUUCAAGGGCUUUGUAUAUUUAGGAGUGCUUUUCAACACCACAGAUCUUAAACUUCGGAUCAUAAUUAACGGAAUAACAGAACUCUUAAAUAACAAAUUUGAAACUCACUGUAGUAACUUGAAAAGAACUUACACACAGAAAAGAGAGAAAUAACAGAAUACACAUGUAAAGAUUUUUCAAGUUGGUCUAUGCUCUGUAACAUAUAUGGCAUGAUCUUUGGCAUAUCCUGACUUUAUGAAAUAGUAUAUUAAUUUUGUGAAAAGUUGGUUUUGCAUUUAAGUAGAGAAAAGAACCUGGGCACUACCAGUGUUUCUCAAGGUAAGAUAUUAUUGGCAUUUUGGGUGGAAUAAUUUUUGGUGUAGACUCCGCUCUCCCUUUCUGAGCCCAUGGCAUCCCUGGGCCCAUUUAUGAUUUCACCUAUUAAAUGUCAGUAGCGGCUGCCUGUCACUGUGACAAACAGGAUGCCUACAAACCUUUCUAAACCAGGUGUGGGUGUUGGGGGCUGGUAGGUUUGAGGGGUACAUGCUUGAGAAGAUGUGGGAUUCAUACUAAAAGCCUCUGAGCUAAACUAUCAAUAAAGACAAGAGGAGAGGCCUGGACCAGUGUGCAAGGUUUUUAGCACUGCACUGAUGUAUUCAGAUGUCCACUUCCCUCUGCUUUGUUAUUGGUUAGCAGUAAUUGGCACUAAGUAUGGAAUUCUUUCAUGUCAAAAAAUUUCCUAACAGUUUUAAGCCUAUAAUUUAGAAAAAUCUAUAUUUAAUCCUGCCAGCAACUCCAUGAGGGAAGUAUUAUUUGGAUUUUACAAAUAAGUUGAGGAUAGGUAACUUGCCCAAGAUCAUACAGCUGGUAAAUAGUCAGAAAUGAAAUCCAGUUGGCCUCCAGAGCCUGCCCUCUUUAGUUAAACUUUGCUCUACUGCCUGGGACCAGAUGAUUAAAGUAAAGCUGUUCAAGAAGCUGCCAGUCUAGAUAUAGUGCCAAAUAUGUGUCUAGUUAUCAUCUAGUUUCAUAAGCGCAAUAACAGAUAUUUAUAAAAGGUACAAAGAUGAUCAAGAAGAAAUUUGUGGGACAGAGGGUUGGAGAGGGAGAAGCACCUCAGUGAGGAGGAUUUUCAUGAUGACUGGUUUAUGCAAGCUUCCUUGCCCAGUUAAAACACAGAGCAUUUCUCCUGUGCUCAGUUUUAACAUUGGGCCAGUCACUUCUAAGAGCUAUCAUUCAAGGUUUGAUGAAUCUGCUUCUGUAAUUCAGAAAUGAAAGAUACAAAAAUAUUAAUUUAUGGAUGCAAAUACUGGUAAAGUACAUCACUGUGUUUUUCUUUUUUAAAGGCUGAUAUGACCCAAGUUAACAUUUUCUGAAGUGAAGAUUCCUGGUGCUCAGUUCAGGUGACAAGAAAAUUAAUAGGCCAAAGCCUUCUGAAAAAAAAGCAUUGAGAGCAUAAACCACUCAGAAGAUUUACAGCUUAAAGCAGAUCACCUUAAGAGGCAGAUUUGGCCGAACAGCAGUAUGAAAUACAUUUAGGUAUGAGUUUCUGAAAGAAGACAACAUAGACAGCACUACUUUCCUCUGCUGUUGACAUCAGUCCUAGUGUGUCUUUGCACUAAUGGCUAACUAGAGCCAUGUAGUUAUGGACAAUUACUCCUGACUCCCUUAGAACUAUGAACAGUGAAUUAAUGGAACUCUAAGAACUCACACAUUGGCUCCCAGUGUCCCUAUGACCCAAAGCUGGAUCUGUUCCUUACAGAAUUGGUUUACUCUUGUUGUCCAGGCUGGAGUGCAAUGGUGCAAUCUUGGCUCACCACAUCCUCCGCCUUCCAGAUUGAAGCGAUUCUCCUGCCUCAGCCUUCUGAGUAGCUGGGAUUACAAGCAUGUGCCACCACGCCCGGCUAAUUUUGUAUUUUUAGUAGAGACGGGGUUUCACCGUGUUGCCCAGGCUGAUCUCGAACUCCUGAUCUCAGUUGCUCCGCCCGCCUCGGCCUCCCAAAGUGCUGGGAUUACAGGCGUGAGCCACUGUGCCCGGCCAAGACUUACUCUUUACCAACCCUCACUGGGCAUAUAUUGACAAUCAGGACUUUUACAAAAUUACAAAGUGUUACAGUGUCAUGGCUCUUAAGGUAAUCUCACAAAAAUGUUGAAAUCACAAAUGAUAAUAAAUUAAAAGGUCUACUAUGUUAUAAUUUUCAGAAUUUUAAGCCUUUCAUGUUUCCUUUUUCAGUGUUAAUGAUUUUCUGAGACACAUUUUCAAAGGAUUAUUUAUAAGAACGAGACAAAAUUAAGCCAAAGUCCAUAUUACAUGAAACUUCAUCUCCUAGGCUUUGUAAAUGUGAGUGGGUAUAUGGUUAUGUGUCUUGUUUCUUGUCUGGAAAAAGGCAGAAGUACUAUAUCUAGAUAUUCUCAAAACCUUAAUCACAUAAACUCAGAAAAACAGAACUCAAAGAUAUUUACAAAAAUUUUGCAGUAAGACAAUAAAAGCCUCCUUGAGAACAAAGACAAUGAAAAAUCAUAAAUAUGAAUCACCUUUAAGAAGGGAAUCAGCUUUAAUUCAAGGGAAUCUUUAAUUUAAACUGAAACUAUUUUAAAAUUCAGGUUCUGUGUCCUAAUUAUCCCUUUUUGCUGACAGAAAAGCUAAAGGAUACAGGACAUAUCUGACCCAGGAAUCUAAGCAAAUAACAUACUACCUGGCUAAUCCAGUUGAGGUGAAGGUCACAAUACUGAAUUUGAAUAUGCUGUGUUCUCUACUGUAAAUAAAGUAUUUUGUUUAUC